rnacentral:rRNA from 1 species
GACGAACGCUGGCGGCGUGCUUAACACAUGCAAGUCGAACGGAAAGGCCCUGCUUUUGUGGGGUUCUCGAGUGGCGAACGGGUGAGUAACACGUGAGUAACCUGCCCUUGACUUUGGGAUAACUUCAGGAAACUGGGGCUAAUACCGGAUAGGAGCUCCUGCUGCAUGGUGGGGGUUGGAAAGUUUCGGCGGUUGGGGAUGGACUCGCGGCUUAUCAGCUUGUUGGUGGGGUAGUGGCUUACCAAGGCUUUGGCGGGUAGCCGGCAUGAGAGGGUGACCGGCCACAUUGGGACUGAGAUACGGACCAGACUCCUACGGGAGGCAGCAGUGGGGAAUAUUGCACAGUGGGCGGAAGCCUGAUGCAGAAACGCCGCGUGCGGGAUGACGGCCUUCGGGUUGUAAACCGCUUUCGCCUGUGACGAAGCGUGAGUGACGGUAAUGGGUAAAGAAGCACCGGCUAACUACGUG